rnacentral:rRNA from 1 species
UACAGAGGGGGCAAGCGUUGUUCGGAAUUACUGGGCGUAAAGGGCGCGUAGGCGGCCCGCUAAGUCGAACGUGAAAUCCCCAGGCUUAACCUGGGAACUGCGUCCGAUACUGGCAGGCUUGAAUCCGGGAGAGGGAUGUGGAAUUCCAGGUGUAGCGGUGAAAAUGCGCAGAUAUCAGGAGGAACACCAAUGGCGAAGGCAGCUCGCUGGGACGGUACUGACGCUGGAGAACGCGAAAAGCGUGGGGAGCAAACAGG